AUGAGUUGUUUUCCGGACCAUCAAAGAUUGGACUGCAACUCUACAAUACAGUUUGCUUUUGAUAAUUAUUGCUGGUGGAUUCUAAGUUCUAACUCGAGACUAAAUUCACGUAUUCCCCACUUGGAAGAUGGAAAGAUGGGAUGCUCCAUGGAGUCCGCCGGCUUCCACCGUCUGUUAAUCACAAUCCUGCUACCUACAACUCUUUCCUGUUUUAGUAGCUCUGUCCUUUUGAAGGCCCCAGCAAAGACAAAGAGGAAAACUCAUGGUGAAACCUCAUCUUUCAUUGAUAUACUAAUUACGGACUCCCCAUAA
rnacentral:rRNA from 1 species